AGCAGCCGCGGUAAUUCCAGCUCCAAUAGCGUAUAUUAAAGUUGUUGCAGUUAAAAAGCUCGUAGUUGAAUUUCGGGGUUCUACCGUCGGUCGGGCUAACAAGUCUGUACUGGUGUGUAGAAUUUCUACCUUCUGGGGAACUAUCAUGUUAUUAAUUUAGCGUGGUGGGAAACCAGGACCUUUACCUUGAAAAAAUUAGAGUGUUCAAAGCAGGCUUACGUCUGAAUACAUUAGCAUGGAAUAAUAGAAUAGGACGGUGGUCCUGUUUUGUUGGUUUCUGAAUCACCGUAAUGAUUAAUAGGGAUAGUUGGGGGCAUUAGUAUUCAAUUGUCAGAGGUGAAAUUCUUGGAUUUAUUGAAGACUAACUUCUGCGAAAGCAUUUGCCAAGGAUGUUUUCAUUAAUCAAGAACGAAAGUUAGGGGAUCGAAGACGAUCAGAUACCGUCGUAGUCUUAACCAUAAACUAUGCCGACUAUGGAUCGGACGAUGUUAAAUUUUAUUGACUCG
rnacentral:rRNA from 1 species